rnacentral:lncRNA from 1 species
GGAAAUCUAUGCUCAGCAUUAUCCAUUCAAUACCUAUCAGGGAAUAUAAUCCAUGUAUUCCUAAUUAACUUCUUUUUUGGGCAAACAACUGCCUGAUAUUCUUCAGUAAGAGUCAUCUAGAUAUGAAAUGUAUGGGAUAUCCUUUCUCAGAAGCCAAAGAACCUUGAAACUAGCGCUAGAGAUAUUUUACAGAAUUGCCUUGUACCUUGUGGUUUCUUCUGCUGAAAUGAUUGCCUGACUGUGAAAUUGUAAGUUUGAAGGGGAAAAAGAAAUAAAAAUAAAUAAUAA